CGGCAACCGUAACAUUGAAGUCGCAGGAGGCGGGGAGUGUCACCUCAACGGCGCCCCCAUGGUUCACGUACGACUUCACACCCUGAGGCAGGAGAGCCCGCGGGAAGUUGUUUUUCUCCAAAAGGUCGUACGCUGUGUCGGAGGUGGCUGCUUGGAGGACAGAAGCCAGGAAGACGAUGAGGAGCAGAUGCCGGAUGGCCAUGUCUAGCUAACUGUUGCUGCUUACAAAUUGUAUCAAGGAAUAUGAGGAACUAGGAAGUAUGUGUAGACUGAGGCCCUGGCCACGUAUUAUAUAUGCUGCCCAACGAAAUCAAAGUCAAUCGUACUUUAAUUGCAUUUAUUUUGUUCCUGAUUAUCACUCCAUCAACCACCACAUCAAAUAUGCUAAAAAUAUCAUCCCAUUAAAUCAUAUUUAUUUCUGGCCUAGAACAUUCUAUAGUUAAUGGUUAUGCCAAAACGUUCCUCAAAUAUUCAUAAUCAAUACGUACCAUAAAAUGAGACUGAAAUUUCAGAGCAACAUUCAUUUACGUACUUCACAGCCGACAUAUGAAACAUAUGCAAAAACCUAAAAAUGAAUCAAGGGGAAACAUCAACAUCCAAACAGUUUGAUCCUUGAUGUUGGCUUGGGUACCAAUGAGGCUUCUCUUCUCUUCAAAUAAUGUUGUGCAGUGCAACUAAAACAUAAAACACCCGCAAGAAAGAAAUAUUUCAUUUAGAUAUACUUGAGUUUUACAUGAGUAUGCGGUGCAAUAGAAUGAUUAUCUCCCAUUGUGCAGAUCAUCUCUUUCAGGAUGCCUACUCAGGCCAGCACAGACUCAUACAUAACAUCUCCGUGAAAGUUUCCACAAUGUUAUAGCAUGAACUCCCAGACCGUGAGAGAGGCUCAGUACCCAUAUCCAAAAUGAAGAGUGCGGAGGAGCAGGUGCCUACCCCUCCACCUUCCACUUCUCUUAAAAUUUUCCUGUGCAAUGCAACUCAACUAAAAAACAACUCCAAGCAAUAUAUUCAAUUUAUAUCUUGUUGGGUUAUGAUACGUCUCCAACGUAUUUAUAUAUUUUUUAUUGUUCCAUGCUAUUAUAAUUGUUGGGUCAUGAGCCGAAAGCAAGCCAUCGAACAUGCCAAUGUUGGAUUGGAUGAGAUUGUCGACCGCCUGAAGGAGGUUCUCAUCGUGAUCCUUGAAGAGCCGGUCCAGACCUACGGUGAAAUACGCUCGUUGAAGCGCGUACACGCCACACCUUUCCUUGGACGGCUUGUCCAUCGCCUCCGCUCACGGCCGAUCACGCCACCGCAUCCCGUGAUGGUGUCGCGGCAACUCCAGGACCACUUAAUCUUAUACCAAUUGUGAGCAACUCACCUGAUCGAGAGGAAUUGCUAGGGAUUAGAAUUCGAAAUUGCGGAAAUUGGUUUCUUAGCUAGACGUCCGUCCACCCUCACAGCUACACUACACCGCAUGUUGUCAUCAUCCAAAUCCCAGCCAGGAGAUAGGAGAGAAGUAUAAUGCCUACUAGCUUAGCCCGCGCGGCGACACGCCGCGCCCAUCGAUCAGUCGCGACUAUGUAGACUAUGGUCCAAGCAAUAGAGUAAUAAGUAGUUAUGAUGAAAUUUGUUGCAUAACUUGAGGCUUUUUAGCAAAUUCUUUUGUUCACAACAAUUUAUAGACACAAAUAUCUAUCUUUCGUGGAAACUUUUAGUUUAUUUUGUACAUAGCAAGGGUCUGUCCACCAAGUUGAAACAAAUACACAACAUGACCAAAAGUAAGGAACUUCAGAACAGUGCUUUCGUAGCUAAAAUUUAAUAAUUUUUCACAUUUCAUAACAUAAAUACUUAACUAAAACUUACAUCUGAUCUGAAGUACAACCAUUGAGACAGUAAAAAAACCACUAUUUUGAUCAUCAGAAAAAAAUUAAUGUGCAUUUCAUGGAAAAAGUUUAGAGACAAAAUAAUUUAGCCAAGAGAAAAACUAUUUCAGAUCACAAAAGGCGCUCCAAAGAGUAAUUGUGUAUAUUAUUCAAAAGAACACUUUGUUACCUUCAGGCUUUAAUUAGCCCCAUUGUAUCUUGUGGAAUCAUGCAGUGAUACAAAUUCUUACCAUAAACAAAAAAAUUAAGCAGCUCUUAAUAUAGAAACAACCAUAUCACUCUGAAUCAAGGGAGCAUGAUGCGAUGAACUGAUGACGGGGAAUCUAUGGUAGCAUAUACCCAGGAAACAGUGUUCAUGGAAACUUUGUUAAACAACCCCUUGCUCAGCUUAAAAGUAUUCCUUCCUGGGUCUCCACUGAAACAAAGCAAUAUUUAUACACCCACAGGUGAGAACAAUAUGAGAUUGUUCGAUAUAAAACCAACAAUGCUUGAACAUACUUGUUUCUCUACCUCACCAUGUGGCAACCAGAAAAAGCUUUAACAAUUUAAAAACCACUUGCAAAUUGAAGUUGAGAGCCUUCACUUAUUUCUCGAAAUGGAAGGAGGAAGGGGCCUUAAUUUGUCCCAGUAACCCCAUGAAUAUAAUUAGCCAAAUAUGUGGCAUUUCAUCUUAUUACAUGGUCAUGCUGAAGGAGGGAACAUCAAUAAAAUUAGGCAUAAGAAAUCCAUCAAAUGAAGAGAGAUGUACUUAGAAAUAAGAAUAACAAACAUUCUCAGAUACUAUGUACCUUAUCCUGCCUCUAAGAAUAUGUCAAGAAGGUGAAUCAUUCACUUUUAUGUUACCGUUGCUGACAACGGACAACUGUGGAUGGAAACAAAAUUCUCAGCAAUGCAUAUAUGAAACUAAGUAACAUGACUUAGAAAAUAUAAUGUAAAAUAUCACAAUAAACUACUACUAAGUAUGUUCAAUAGUAAUACAACCUCAGUUUGUACCCCAGAAAUUUCUAUCACCAAAACAUCUUAGAAGGUUCAGUGCUAGUGAUGUGCCUGCCAUAAGACCGAAUGCCAAUUUCUAGUUAAAAAAUAACCGCGCAAGACCAUAUUCCUCUACCGCAAAGGGUAUAUGAUCAAGUGGGGCCAACUAAAGACAGGCCCCACGAUUCCAUUUUUUAAUGUAUGUUGUUGUAUAAUGAAUGACGCGCUUGUAUGCUUACGUGACUAUUUGGUUUUUGAUGUGAUGGAAAUUGGAGGGAAAGAUGCUGGACGGACUAAUUUGAUCAAUCGGGUGAGUAGAAGUAUUAGAGUUUUGGCCAUCUCAUCCAUUAAAUUUGGAUGGAGGGUAUGCAUCUUAAUAUGAUAAACAUAUAUGCAUACCGUAUAUGGGUUAUAUACAUAUAAAAAUCAGUGCAGCAGGCAUUUUUUCUGAAUCUAAACAUCUUGGUGGCCGAGUUCCAGUGUGAAAAUAUUGGUUUUAGUCCCUGGUCAAAUGGACUGAUGCAUAUUAUGUUUGGUUGUACCACGAAAAAUAAUUUGGUUGCUUUAAGACAUUCAACCGAGGUAGACGAUGCAAUUUUGGCUGACAUGAAGUUUUACGAUCAUCAAUAUAGCAGAAUAUGCAAAAGAUGGGAUAAAGCAAGUCAUAUCUACUCCCUCAGUCCCAUAAUAUAAGAGCGUUUUUGACACGAUGGAGGGAGUAGUUUGUUUAUUUGUUUGAGGAACACUUAUUUGCUUGGAGAAUAAUGAAGUGUGCUUGCACCGGUGCACAUGAGAUGAACUUGAACAAACGAUCUGCAUUCAUAUAUGCAUUGUACCAGAAAUCAGUGCUGCUCUAACUUGCCUCUGCAUUGCCUCUGAACCAGUGCUGAUCUAUAUCGGAGAUCAGGAAUUUACUCAUCAGGUCACUGCAUCUACUUUAUUGCGAUUAAACCACCAAACUCAAAGAAAUACCUGCAAUUUAUUUAAUAGUCUUAUUUGAUUUUUUAUUCAGAAUGCGUUGAGCUAUUUCUUUUGCCGAGCUACAUUCUUGUACAUUGGAUUCUCAAGGAGCAUCACUUGCGAGACAUAUCUUCACAUACUACCAUUUCAGAACACCACUCCCUUCACGCACAGGACAUACAUGUUCUACAUCCACCCCUCACACUCCUAAUUUCAAAACCGAGUUGGCAGGUUAUUGUAAGGCAGGUAAGCAACCUUCUAGAUGGAAUGUUGGAAUUUACUCUGGCAAGGUAGGUCUUAAACAUAUUAUCAUCUGGCUAUCUACUGUUUGAGCUCCCCAUGCUGCUAACACCAUCAAAUAUUGUUUGCUCCGGACAUCUUCAUAUGCCAAUUUGACCUUCUUUUUGGCAGACACAGUAUCUCAGAACAUCUAAAUUGACUCCUUGCACAGGUCUCUGAAUUGACACAAUCAGAAGGAUAAAACAAUCGCUAGAGCUCUUAUAGGAAGUCAGCCAUCAUUUUACUUAGACUAAAGAAGGUGUCUAUCACAAAAAAGGAAAAAAAAGUAAGUGCGAAGAAACACAUGUAGGGUUGCACAUAAUUUGUAAGAGAUGAUCAAGGCAUAUAGUUGCAGCAAGUAGCAAAUGGCAUGAAUUUAUUCAUGAUGCACUCACGCAUCAAGGGUGUAAAUCUUCUUUAGCUAGGUCCAAAUGCAGAUAGAUACAGUACAUGAAUGAUGUGUGAUAUGUCAUUGUAGGUUUCAGACCUGAUGAAAAGUUUAUUACAGUACACGAAAAAUAUUCAUGAAACGGUUAUACAGUACAGGAAUGAUGAGAAAUCGGAAAUUUCUGUACAGGAAUGAUGUAUAAUAAAUUGCUGAGAGGAAUAAAGAAGAUGCAGAAUGUCUGAAACUUCUCAAAACUGGAAACAAUUAUACAAAAGCUACCUGACAGAGUAUACGGCUAGGAAUCUGCCUAAUUCAGUGUCUCUUAUAAUCCACCAACGACUACGGCGUAAUCACCAUCAUUGCGGCUCAACCAGAAUUCGAUCGAAUAAUGAGGCAAAUAAAGCAGCUAAUAUGGGGUAAAUGCACACUAACUUGGCAGCAAGAACAGAUGGGUCAUAAGCGCCUUCAGUGACCCUACGACCUGCAAAUGGCAGUAUACAGACAGUGCGCCUUUACUCUGAAUAACCGAGAAGGAGCUAUCUUUAUCCUCUUUUUUUGCGGGGGAGCUGUCUUUAUCCUCCACUCAAGCUAGAUAUACUUACAAAGUUAGAGUUGUAUAAAGUUUUGAAGCGUAGCGCUGUGAAUGGAUCACUCGUCCAGCAGCCUCCUGACACAUAAAAUAGGCAGAGCGAGCAUUACAAGGUCCCAUAACUCGGGGUCAGGCUAGUCGAACACGAUGACGCGCACCACCGUGCGCCACGCCGACGCCAGGUAGUAGAGCGCGGGCCUCUCGCACUGGUUGUGCGCUAGGGGCUUCAUGUUGAACGCGCGCGCCUUGUAGUCAGCGGGCCAGUACCAGUUCAAGAACGUCCACGCCGGCAUCUGCAUCUCCCGCGCCAGCACAACGCCCUCGGCACCGUCACCACGAACCCCCACGCCACUGACACCGUCCACCGGUUCGCCGCGAUGUAGCAUAUCAACUGGUGCAUCACCCCCGUCGAACAGCCUCCGCAGAGACGCCGGGCGCGAACGCAUGUUGGGGAUAAGCGGUCGAGGUGGUGCAGCGAGUCAGCGACACCAGCGGUGCCACCUGGUGGGCGGCGAGGAGGCCCAGGAGGUCACCAUACACGCCUUACUCGUGGAAGCCCGAGUGUCGGCACACCCACAUCCGCCAUGCCCCAUGCACGAUGUAGUAGGGGACGGCGAGGAGGUUGUCCGGGAGGAAGACCGUGUUGUCGACUUGUCGUCACCCAUGACGAACCAGCUACACCUGGGAGACUGAGGCGGAAGGUCUCGGAGAUGACAGUCGACGUGUGAGAUGCAUGCGGAUGGCAGAGCGAUGACCGUGCGUGUAGGAGAAACCGGAGGUAUCCGGUAAGAUCUUGAUGUAUAUGCACUCCUUCCGCUUCUCCAACAGGCGCGCCAACGCCGUGAAGCCGAACACUGUAGCGUAAUCGUCGUUGUCGACACCGUGGCUGUGGCAGGUUGCGGUGGUGGUGGCGUACUCGUCGUCAACACCACCGUAUCUGUGGAGGGUGGUGGUGGCAUCCUCGCCGUCGACACCACCGUGACCGUGGCGGGCAUCAGCAGGGGCCUCGCCAGCGGCAACGUGACUAAUCAGGAGGAUAGCGUUGUGGGCGGCUUCUUCUGGGUGGAGGCAGCCGGGCGCUGCCACGCUGGGCAAGAUGCUAUGUGCGAAGAAGAGCCCUUUUAUAGGCCAGUACGGCGGUGAAUGGGUGGCUGGGUUAUGCACCGCACUGGAGCAGAGUUUUCGGGAGCGUCUAGAACACACGGCUGGACAACAGCGGCAGUAACAAAAAGGUACAUAUCGAUUGGGCCAGAAGCGGUCACGACAGAAAUACAGAGAAGCAUCGAUGUGUCUGGAAAGGGACAUAUCGAUUGGGCCAGAAGCGGCCGCGACAGAAAUACAGAGAAGCAUCGAUGUGUCAACCAACCGAUCGCCACACCCGUUGAAGAAAUUUGAAUCAAAAAACUGAACACACCACUCAUUUCUACCCUGCCGUGUACCAAAAAAAUACCACGCGCCAUACCCACAACUCACCAUAGGUCACUUUCAUCCAAUUGGUUUAAUCUCAAAGCGAAAACCUUGCCUGCAAUAGAGGCUUGGGUAUUUAAACUAGUGAUCGCUAACAUAGUAGAAGGGCGUGCUCAUAGUCCAUCAACCAUCGCGGUGGGUUGAUCUCGAACCUAGGCUGCGGUUAGAGCAUAAAAAUUGUAUGCGAUAUUGAGUCCAUCACACAAAGUUAGAACAUACAAACUAUGUGCAAUAGGAAGGGUCCAUCACACACGGUUAUAAUUAAAAAUCGUGUGCUCGGAUGGGUUGGCGAUUGGGGUGCCAAUACACACGCUUUCAAAAAGGUGUGCGAUGAAUGGGCUCGACUAGGUCUAACAUAAGUGCUACAUUAUACAAUUAUUAAUUUUUUACAAGCAAACAUAGCACCAGACAUAAUUCACAAUUGGACAACCCAUCGCACACUCUACGAUAUUUUGUUCUGCCAUUUCUCUACUAAUGGACAAAAGGCACUCGGCUUACAUCGGUAUGCCAACAUGAUGUACCUUGAGUGCGUUACGCUGAGUGUCAAANNNNNNNNNNGCGAUAUUGAGUCCAUCACACAAAGUUAGAACAUACAAACUAUGUGCAAUAGGAAGGGUCCAUCACACACGGUUAUAAUUAAAAAUCGUGUGCUCGGAUGGGUUGGCGAUUGGGGUGCCAAUACACACGCUUUCAAAACGGUGUGCGAUGAAUGGGCUCGACUAGGUCUAACAUAAGUGCUACAUUAUACAAUUAUUCAUUUUUUACAAGCAAACAUAGCACCAGACAUAAUUCACAAUUGGACAACCCAUCGCACACUCUACGAUAUUUUGUUCUGCCAUUUCUCUACUAAUGGACAAAAGGCACUCGGCUUACAUCGGUAUGCCAACAUGAUGUACCUUGAGUGCGUUACGCUGAGUGUCAAACCCGCCGAGGCAAAAUCAGCCUUUGCUAGGGGGUCUGCACACCCAAUGGCGGAGCUAUGUUGGNNNNNNNNNNNNNNNNNNNNNNNNNNNNNNNNNNNNNNNNNNNNNNNNNNNNNNNNNNNNNNNNNNNNNNNNNNNNNNNNNNNNNNNNNNNNNNNNNNNNNNNNNNNNNNNNNNNNNNNNNNNNNNNNNNNNNNNNNNNNNNNNNNNNNNNNNNNNNNNNNNNNNNNNNNNNNNNNNNNNNNNNNNNNNNNNNNNNNNNNNNNNNNNNNNNNNNNNNNNNNNNNNNNNNNNNNNNNNNNNNNNNNNNUCUUGUAGUGGAGAAUUUUCAACGUAUGAUGUAAAAUAGCCGUUGUGUCAAAAGAAUUGACAGUUAGGUCACUUUGGGCCAAAAAAAAGUAUCCAAAAGAUGCCCUAUAUACCUAUAUGUUGCAAAAGAAAAUUACCCAAAAUUUUGUCACACACAUCUAGUAGCUGCAUUGAAACCAAAAACAAUGCAGCAGGAACCCAACCACUAGCGAUGAGACUACCCCACCGCCGACAGUCGCCACCCCACACCUACUUUGACCGACUGUGCAGCGCAUGCUGCCGCCGUGACUCAAUCGGCCGUUCUCAGCCCCGCUACCACCCUGCCGCUUGGGAUGUCCGCUACCAAAUCUUGGGCCGGCGCAUCCGAUUCCACCGACUCUGGCCAUAGAAAGUUGGUGUAGCUACCGGGACAUCCCCCUUCAGUAUUUUGGCUAAUUUUGAACUUUUUGUCCGGAUCACAAGAAAAUGUUAGUAUCGUCCAUGUUGCUGAAGGGGAAUUACUACUUGGGGAUUUGCUCACUGAAUAUUGGAAUAUACUUACUUUAUGCAUGCCAUCAAAUAUAGCUCAUCCCCUGAAAGAACAAAGAUUGCUGAUGUUUUUUUCCAUGGUUUUCUAAAACAAUGUUGAUCUUUUUCAGAGAAAUGCAAUGAUUAUUUUUAGAGAACAUUCUGCAAAUCAACUAAAUAAGAGUCUAGGCAUUCUUCUUGUUUUUUUCGGGGGGAAGGUGUCUAGGCAUUUAUUAACAUGUAGAACUUACAAUGCAUGGGGAAUGAAAGAUCAAAUAUACCUUGCUCUCCUUUCUUAUUUUAGUGGCUGUUAAUGUCAUCAUAAAGAAUAUUACACAUUAGGAUUGAGUUGUUUUGCUCUUCUAUUUUCCAGUAAGCCCUGCGAUAUUUUACAACCCAUCGGACACCCUUGUCGAUCUGAUGCUAUGUAGAUCAAGAUUAUUUCUAAUUACCUGCGAGACACCGACAAAGUAUAUCAUGUGGAAUUUCUUGUUCCUGUGGUUAGGAGGCUGGGCAAAAAAUAUAUAUGAUCAUCACAAUAAUAUUAGGUCUUGGAACCAUGACUUAUUACAUAAUCAGUUUAUUCACUCUACAUAAAGCAGCGGACUCACAAAGACACAUGCAUAUUGGAUACUACAUUAUAUGGAAGGCGUGCAUGCAUCCGUAACCGAUCACACCCUUAGCUGCACCUGGGGCUCUGCACGAAGUUGCUAACCGGAAAUGACUGGUCGAACGUGGCUGCAUGCUCACUACCAGUAAACCUCAGCUUGUCACCGACGCGUUGAACCGUGUGGAAUGUGAGAAAAUCCCACUCAAAUUGGAUCCUCACGCCACCCAAUUGAGUUAUGGAUCCGGGCCGGAUAACACCACUGACUAUGCUGUCAAACCGAAUCUUGUGUGAUCCACCGGCAACCGUAACAUUGAAGUCGCAGGAGGCGGGGAGUGUCACCUCAACGGCGCCCCCAUGGUUCACGUACGACUUCACACCCUGAGGCAGGAGAGCCCGCGGGAAGUUGUUUAUCUCCAAAAGGUCGUACGCUGUGUCGGAGGUGGCUGCUUGGAGGACAGAAGCCAGGAAGACGAUGAGGAGCAGAUGCUGGAUGGCCAUGGCUAGCUAACUGUUGCUGCUUACAAAUUGUAUCAAGGAAUAUGAGGAACUGGGAAG
rnacentral:lncRNA from 1 species